AAAAUUUUAGGCGUAGAUGGCGUGACCGCGCUUUUCCGAAGCGCAGAUGACGUGACUGCAGUCUAAUGGACACAUAUUGCAAACGGCAGAAGGUAAAUACCAUCUAUAUUUUUUUCUACUGUUACUGUUAAAGUGAUAUGCUAAUCGCGAUGACAUAAUCUGUUACUGUUUUGAUAUUAUGUUUUAAUAAAGAUAAGGCUGUGUGUAAUGACGAUGUUGUGGCCAUGAUUUAAAGUGACUAUUUGUGUAUUUAAAUAUUUGUUUAUAUCGCGGAAUGUAAAUAUAUCCACGUAACAUAGUGCUACGAGUUACUGACGUUUUAAUAGAGAAACAUGCAUGAAUGACAGAAUAAAUAGCGGGACAUGUAUGAUGUUAAUACAGAAGGCCGCCGUUUGCUGAUCUUAUUUUUAAUAACAGUAUGAAAUAGUAAAAAUAACUAACGUUAUAUUGUUAUUUUAUUGUAAAAUAAAAUGUCUCACUGUGGAACAUGAAAAACUGGCAUACACUUGUUCAACAGAGAGGACAUGAAACCAUUCUUGGACUCUGAAGAAUACUAUGCAAACCAUGCUUUUGGAUCUACUGUUAAGUUUUUGUAAUAAAGCUGAGGUUUUGGGAUUGAAAAUCUUCUGCCACAUGAUCUUCCGUAAA